rnacentral:rRNA from 1 species
GCUACGGGUGGCAGCAGUGGGGAAUAUUGGUCAAUGGGCGCGAGCCUGAACCAGCCAAGUAGCGUGAAGGAUGACUGCCUUACGGGUUGUAAACUUCUUUUAUAAAGGAAUAAAGUGAGGAACGUGUGCCUUUUUGUAUGUACUUUAUGAAUAAGGAUCGGCUAACUCCGUGCCAGCAGCCGCGGGAAUACGGAGGAUGCAGUCGUUAUCAGGCUUUGUUGGGUUUAAAGGGAGAGGAGAUGGGUUGUUAAGUCAGUUGUGAAAGUUUGCGGCUCAACCGUAAAAUUGCAAUUGAUACUGGCAGUCUUGAGUACAGUUGAGGUAGGCGGAAUUCGUGGUGUAGCGGUGAAAUGCUUAGAUAUCACGAAGAACUCCGAUUGCGAAGGCAGCUUACUAAACUGCCACUGACAUUGAUGCUCGAAAGUGUGGGUAUCAAACAGGAUUAGAUACCCUAGUAGUC